UUAACGAUAGUUUCUGUUUACAACUUAAUCGUUUAAAAUCACGUGGUCAUUACGAUUAUUUACGGGCUCAUCGUUUUCGAACGUUUUGCUACAAGAUGAAAAAUAAAUACAUGUCGAAUGGCAGCAUUAGCGCUCUCUACUGGUAAAAGGUUCAUAGAGCAGCUAGUAAAAGUUUACUUCCGCAUGGGUGUUAACGAGUUGAAAAGUUUGAAUAGUAAACUGUUUGAAUAGGGUUGUCAAAAAUCAAAAGACACGGACAAGAUACAGCUAUGCCUUGGCCACCAGGGGUCAGUAUGAUACUGUUCUGCUGACAGACGAAGAAGAGUGUCACAACCAUUUGCCAUCAGGAUAGAGCAGACUUCAGGGAAGACUAUUUAUGCUAAUUAAUUAAGAAAGCAUCUGAUUAAUGAGAGGUAAGUGCUGCUAAUUACACACUCAACACAUUAAUCAAAGCUGAUAUCCAACCACAGUCGUUUUUUUUUUUAAUUAUUAUUGAUGCACGCACUUGAAUUCAUUUGACUAAUGAACAAGUGACAGACAUAGCAUACCCAGCGGAUGACCUCGGGCGUUUUCUCACAAGAGACUUGUCGCCACUUAACACGCACACGCAACCACAUGCUCACAUCUCAAGGGUAUAAUUUUGCGCCGUGUUACACGCGUGUUAAAAGGGGCCGCUGUCUGUCACAGCAGGGAAGAAGAGUCAUGUCAAGAUGAUGAAGUAGGAUUGUUGUCGAGGAAUGAGGAACAAAGUAGUUCUUAUGUGGCCCACGGGUCAACAAAGUUGUUGCAACAACCAUUUUGAACGAGUGAUGAAGUAAUUUGACGCUGUAAUCAAAAUCAUUGUUACACUGAAUUGAUCAUCAUUGUCCUUCUUUUCUCUUUUCUUUGCCUGACACACAGUCAAGUCACACCGUUGCCGUUAAUCAUCAAUAACAAUACCUUAUUUGUCAGGGAGGAGUGUUUACAAUGGGACGUAGACAACCCCCCCCCCCCCCCCUCCUUGUCCCACCUUCUGUCAAACCACCACAGUGUGUCAGUGUGCCACCAAUUACCCAGCGCAACUUGAAUGAGGUCAUAACGGGAUGGGGUCAUUAGCAAAACAAACCCGGCAACCCCCGUGGCGGUCGGGGUAGGGAGGCUUUUUGGAGGGAUCGGGGUGUGGGCGGGGGGAAGAGGUGCUCGAGGGGUAUGUGUACAGUACCGGACUCGCUUUUUGUGUGUCUCAGUAACCCCAUCAGACUUUGUAGGAAGACAUGUGGGACCAUCGAAACCGAGGCCGUGGUUUUAUUCCUAAAAAAAUAUAUAUUCAUGGCCGACCCACAAAUCCUCUUUUCUGCAAUAUUUUGUAAUUAGUGAAUUUCAUUUUUAUAAAUAGCACUCUGCAAAAAAAGUUUACCAGAGGAUAUUAUAUAUUAUAUAUAAUGUAAUGCAAUACAGGUGUGUCAUGAAGUAUUCGGAGGCUGCGGUUACAAGGUUUGUCAGUGAUCAUAUAAUUUAAAAUAGCCACGCUAAUAAAUGCUAGCAAAGCGCAUUGACAAAUAUUAGAUGCUAUUAGCGAGGAGCGAAGCCUGUCCGCUUUGCGCGCGCGUGUCUGCGGGUGCGCGUCCAUAUUUGUGUUUGUAUACCUCUAUUGUGACGCGUGUAAUCCACAUGCUCUCUAAUCCCAGAACAGGUGGCCCUGCGUGUGGCGGCUGCGGGGGUUGCGUCGCGGGGCACACGCUCACGAGAUUGAGCCACAUCCACACAACAAAGCUCUGUGUUGUCCGCACACACUGUGUACCCCUUAAACCCGGUGUGUACCGAGCGACGCGACUAAAGAGGUGUUUCGCCAAUUAAAAAAAAUGGCCGCCUUACUGUGCCUCUUCCAAUCAAUUUAAUUGGUAAUGGGAAAGUGGCGAUAAAUAUUUUAAAGGUGCUUUUGCGCACAGAUAGAAUACAUCGUAUUAAGUAAUUAAAUUCCUAAUAUUUUCUCAAAUUUACUUAACGCUACAAUCAAUUUCGCAUUGGAAAAAAAAUACAAAUAAAAGGACUGGAGCGAGGCUAGCAAGUCACUUCGUUAACAUCUGUUUGGCACACCCAUCUCGUGGAUGUGAUUUUGAGGAUUAAAUUGAUGUCAUCUGUUUCUCGCCAUCUCCCUGUCGCUCUUUGAUAAAGAGAUUUAUGAUGUGCACCCGCUAAUGGUCACUCGUUAAACGGGCGGGAGUGUUUUAUUGGCGGAACAUUCGUAAAUCCGUUCCAUUAUGGCUAAAUGGAUAGAAAGCACCAUUAAGUAGGCAUUACAUUUAGAGUAUUUUUUUUUUUUACAUAUUCUGGAUUUUUCUUGAAACUCAGAAUCGGAUUUGUGUAUGUUUUAGCAUUAAUAUAUUAGCGCCUAACUUCAUUGUGUGUUAAUGAUAAAAAAAUAAUCUGUGUGAUUAUUCCUACAGAUAUGUGAGUGGCAUUUUUGGGAGUUGACUAAUGGAUACACAAAUAUAGUUCUUACUAUCCAGUAAAUUGCAAAUUGAAUCCGCGACGGCCGUUUUGCGUCUCGUGAAUUUCUGCAACGGACCGUCUCACUGCGGCACACAAGCGCCAUUGUCUCGCACAUUCAAAUGAGAUUCCACGAGUGGAGCAGCAGUGUUGUUGUCGUCGUCAUCGCCGAUGAAUUAUGUAUGCGCUGCCGUGUUGAUGUGUGUUAGAAUGUAGGACACGUACUUAUGCAUAACAAUAGUCUACAGUUGUGUUCUCACCAACAAAAUUGGCCCACGUUCGCUUUUUAAUGCCAUUGCUGCUACUCGCCUUUGACAGUUGCUCAGUUGCCCCGGUCUACUUUCACUCCUUUCUUUUGUUUCUGCAACAACAACAAAAAACAAAGUCACACAGCUGAUCUCAUAAUUAUACAAGUGUAUAUCAGCCCCCCCCCCGCUCCCUUUGUCCGUCCCAAUGGGACCUUUAUUCAAGAAUUGUCCGUUUUAAACGUUUCUUGAUGUGUGGCGUCGCGCCUUUCCUCGCUCCCAGACACUAAUUGACCUUUCACUUAUGAGACAUGUUAAGUGGUCUUUCUAUAGGAUCACCGCUUGAAUAAAAAGAAUGAGCCCAAACCUGCUUGAAAUAUAGCCGGAGCAUUUAGUUAAACAACGAGAAAUUCAUUUUAUAGGAGCAUAAUGGUGUUUUACGAAAAAAAAAAAGUCAAUACAAAUAUAAUAAAAAAGUUCAAUGGAUUUUUUUGUCUUUGACGUUUCUCGUAAUUAUUGCAAUUUUAUUUUCAAUAACAGCCAUAUCUAAAACAAUUCACACGAUUUUGGUGAACAAUUUUUGUUUUUUUGAAAUACCCUGCAAAUUGCGAUUGUAUAUGUCAAACGGUUGAGUGUAGGUGACCUUCGACACCGUCGGGAAUCCGGUGUGGAAUUCCCAGACCCGCGGUCAAGUGGGUCCGCUUGGGAAAGCCUGGCCUCAGGAACAAAAGCAAAAAAAAAAAGCGCGGCAGCCAAAAGAAGCUUCCGAGGCUUGCUCUUCUACUUGAUUGUUUGCCAUGCUCACAAGCGAGCGGGGGAUUAAUGAAGCGCGUCUGGUGGCUCCAUAUGGCCCCUCUGGUGGCGCUUGUGCUUAAUUAAAAGCCAAUGUAUACUAGAGGGUCUGAGGGGGGGCUCUCCCCAUGUCUGGCUCGAUGAGGACCGCUCCUGACUUUCUGCUCUCCGCUGCCAUCUUGUCUUCACCUGUUGAAAUCGAUUCUGGAUGCCGUACUUCGAUGUCUCCAUCGGGUUCAGUGACGGCUGGCAACGUUUUAAAAAAUGAUGUUCUUUUUCUCGUCUUUUCAAUUCGGCCCUAAAAAUGUUCGUAUAGGUUUGUUUGAAGUGACGCGUUUUGAUGCAAACGUCGUUUGAGACCGACUCAUCUUUCUGUAUCAUUGGCUGCUAAUUGGAGGUCAAACGGGCAACAAAGCAGUCCUCUCGUCCUAAUUAGAGCGAUAGCGCCAUGCCGCUCCUCGCCUAUAAUCCGCACGUAGACAGCUCCAAAAAAAUAAAAAAAUCUUAAUCCCUGCAGCAGAUGGAAGUGAUUUUAUCGAUUAAUCGGCUCUUGAAUUGGAAGAGGUGCUGGGUGAGAAAUUGAAGUACCGUUUUUUUCCGUGUAUAGUGCGCAAAAUUUUACUAAUUUAUUGUCCUAAAAUCUGGGGUGCGCAUUAU